CAGUAGCCGCGGUAAUACGUAGGUGGCAAGCGUUGUCCGGAAUUAUUGGGCGUAAGGGCUCGCAGGCGGUUUCUUAAGUCUGAUGUGAAAGCCCCCGGCUCAACCGGGGAGGGUCAUUGGAAACUGGGAAACUUGAGUGCAGAAGAGGAGAGUGGAAUUCCACGUGUAGCGGUGAAAUGCGUAGAGAUGUGGAGGAACACCAGUGGCGAAGGCGACUCUCUGGUCUGUAACUGACGCUGAGGAGCGAAAGCGUUGGGAGCGAACAGGAUUAGAUACCCCCGUAGUCCCUGUCUCUUAUACA
rnacentral:rRNA from 1 species